rnacentral:rRNA from 1 species
CGGGGGGCAGCAGUGGGGAAUAUUGGGCAAUGGAGGAAACUCUGACCCAGCGACGCCGCGUGCGGGAUGAAGGCCUUCGGGUUGUAAACCGCUUUCAGCAGAGAAGAAGCGAAAGUGACGGUAUCUGCAGAAGAAGCACCGGCUAACUAUGUGCCAGCAGCCGCGGUAAUACAUAGGGUGCAAGCGUUGUCCGGAAUUAUUGGGCGUAAAGAGCUCGUAGGUGGUUCAUUACGUCGGAUGUGAAAAUCUGGGGCUCAACCCCAGACCUGCAUUCGAUACGGGUGAUCUAGAGUGUGGUAGGGGAGACUGGAAUUCCUGGUGUAGCGGUGGAAUGCGCAGAUAUCAGGAGGAACACCAAUGGCGAAGGCAGGUCUCUGGGCCAUUACUGACACUGAGGAGCGAAAGCGUGGGGAGCGAACAGGAUUAGAUACCCGAGU